rnacentral:rRNA from 1 species
UGGAGACAGGUGCUGCAUUGGCUGUCGUCAGCUCGUGUCGUGAGAUGUUGGGUUAAGUCCCGCAACGAGCGCAACCCUUGCCAUUAGUUGUCAGCGAGUCAUGUCGGAUACUCUAAUGGGACUGCCGGUGACGAGCCGGAGGAAGGUGGGAUGACGUCAAGUCAGCAUGGCCUUUAUGUCCAGGGCCACACACGUGCUACAAUGGACGGUACAGAGGGACGCAAGACCGCAAGGUGGAGCAAAUCCUCAAAACCGUUCUCAGUUCGGAUUGUAGGCUGCAAUUCGCCUACAUGAAGCUGGAAUUGCUAGUAAUCGCAGAUCAGCUACGCUGCGGUGAAUACGUUCUCGGGCCUU